UGUGAACUUCAAGGUAAGAGUCUUCUAGAAGAGAUCUUAUCCCAUGAAAAAGGAGGAGCGAGGACCAAUGAAUUCAACCCAAUAACAAAUGUUCAUCACCAGGAUAUAUGUCUUCAAACUGUGGCAUGUACUUUACAGUUACAGCACAUCUCAAUUCAAAUUAGUCACAUUUCCAGUGCUCGACAACCAUAUGGAGCUAGAAGCUACCAUACUGGACAACACAGCUGUAGAGGCCUAAACCAUCCAAAUAGUCCAUAUAUUUCUAAGAGUGGGGAUAGGGCAGAUCUGCUUUAUUUGCAGUUAAUAAUAAAAAACUUAAAAGCU